CUAACACAUGCAAGUCGAGGGGCAGCAUAGAGUAGCAAUACUUUGAUGGCGACCGGCGCACGGGUGAGUAACACGUAUGCAACCUACCUACAUCAGGGGAAUAACCCGGAGAAAUUCGGACUAAUACCGCAUAAUACAGGGAUGCCGCAUGGCAAUAUUUGUUAAAGAUUUAUCGGAUGAUAGAUGGGCAUGCGUUCCAUUAGCUGGUUGGUAAGGUAACGGCUUACCAAGGCAACGAUGGAUAGGGGAACUGAGAGGUUUGUCCCCCACACUGGAACUGAGACACGGACCAGACUCCUACGGGAGGCAGCAGUGAGGAAUAUUGGUCAAUGGACGAGAGUCUGAACCAGCCAAAUCGCGUGAAGGAAGACUGCCCUACGGGUUGUAAACUUCUUUUGUACAGGAAUAAAAGACAUUACGUGUAGUGUAUUGCAUGUACUGUACGAAUAAGCAUCGGCUAACUCCGUGCCAGCAGCCGCGGUAAUACGGAGGAUGCGAGCGUUAUCCGGAUUUAUUGGGUUUAAAGGGUGCGCAGGCGGGAUUUUAAGUCAGCGGUGAAAUUUUCAGGCUCAACCUGAACACUGCCGUUGAAACUGGGAUUCUUGAGUAUGGAUGAAGUAGGCGGAAUUCGUUGUGUAGCGGUGACAUGCUUAGAUAUAACGAGGAACUCCGAUUGCGUAGGCAGCUUACUAAGCCAUAACUGACGCUCAAGCACGAAAGCGUGGGGAUCAAACAGGAUUAGAUACCCUGGUAGUCCACGCCGUAAACGAUGAUUACUAGUUGUUUGCGAUAUACCGUAAGUGACUAAGCGAAAGCGAUAAGUAAUCCACCUGGGGAGUACGCCGGCAACGGUGAAACUCAAAGGAAUUGACGGGGGCCCGCACAAGCGGA
rnacentral:rRNA from 1 species